CCUACGGGGGGCUGCAGUGAGGAAUAUUGGUCAAUGGGCGGGAGCCUGAACCAGCCAAGCCGCGUGAGGGAAGAAGGUACUGCGUAUCGUAAACCUCUUUUGUCAGGGAACAAAGGCGGGGACUAGUCCCCGGCUGAAGGUACCUGAAGAAAAAGCAUCGGCUAACUCCGUGCCAGCAGCCGCGGUAAUACGGAGGAUGCGAGCGUUAUCCGGAUUUAUUGGGUUUAAAGGGUGCGUAGGCGGCCUGUUAAGUCAGCGGUAAAAGCCCGGGGCUCAACCCCGGCGAGCCGUUGAAACUGGCGGGCUGGAGUUGGAGAGAGGUACGCGGAAUGCGCGGUGUAGCGGUGAAAUGCUUAGAUAUCGCGCAGAACCCCGAUUGCGAAGGCAGCGUGCCGGCUCCACACUGACGCUGAGGCACGAAGGCGUGGGUAUCGAACAGGAUUAGAUACCCUAGUAGUC
rnacentral:rRNA from 1 species